CCUGACCCAGAAGGAGCCUCUGCCGGCUUAUCCAGCCGCUUCACAGCCUAUUAGACACGGUCACGAUGGGCAGACGGACACUGAUGAUGAAGAGCAGCCAAUCCUGAUGACGCUUAAAGACUUAUUAUAACUGGGCGUGGCCUUUAUGUAAAAACGCCAAUGAUGCAGCAACGGCUACGAUUACAGUGAGGAGAUGGGAAUGGGAAUGGGAAUGGGAAUGCUCUGUGCACGGUGAGGUGUUGCACAGCAGGGCUGCAUGUUUGCAUGCGGAGCAGGAGGUCAAGAACAGUCCCAUCAGCUGUGAUCUUCCAAUAGAAACACAGGGUGGAGGCAGAGACGUACGUCCAGCGCUACAGAGCCAACGACUUUGAUGUGAGAUCAGAGACACCCGAACAGAAGAGGAGAGGUGAAUGUCGGAAAAACGAGCUUGGUGUCUGUUUACGGUGAAAGUCAGUGCCUUCCUGUCAGUUUGCUUGGUGGAACCUUCACUCUGACAGCUUCUCUACUCUUCUCUCUUCCUCUGAGCACAUCUGAAAACCUGAUACGCCCUUAAAGACGCUGAAUUUGGUCAGUUGGUGGGUCAUUGGCUGAGUUGAGGAGGCAUUAAUUAGAGUAGUCUAUUAACAUUUCAUAAAAGCUCAGAAGACAUUUAGCUCAAAAGGUUUACUGUUUGUUUUAGGUAGUAAUGAAAGGUCUAUAUGUCUACUGUGGACACUGUGACCUCCGGUUCCCAUCACCAUCACUGUAAAGACUGAUAAAUUUCAGUGAACCAUCCCUGCUGAAAAAACAGCACAGACCAACAUGAAGUCCGUCUGAGAUGAUCUAUGCUGGUUUACGCUGGUCUGAUGCUGGUCUAACUGGUCACCCUGCAUGGUCAUGCUGAUUGACCAGCAUAUCAGCAUCCAAAACAAAUGUGCUGGUUUUGAUGACGAUCAUCAUAUGAAGUGAACACAGCAUGUGUUGGUUUUGGUGAUGACCAGGAAUGCUGGUUUCUACAAAACCCAGUCCAUCUUGGG